CUCUAUUUAAUCUCAGCCCAGGCACACCUGUUCUCUUUCAUAAUGUUGUAGGAGCGUGGGUUCUCUGCUUGGUUACAGCUGUAGUUGCCUAUAGAUCCUGGCUUGUUCAUGGAUCUCCUGGCUGAGCUGCAGAGCUGCCCUGUCACUGUGGGCAUGUCUGGCAGUCUGUGGAUUAUCUCUCAUCCUGAUCUUGCAUGAGCUGCACUGCUUUCCUGGCUUGUUACUAUGGGAUGGAUCUACCUUGGUGGUGCUCUCAGUUCCUGCUUCUCCAUCCUGCUGGGGUAAGGAAAGAUGUGCUGUCCGAGUCUCUUCAAGACUGCAAGGAAAUGUGCAAUGAAACAGCAUACCAUCAUGUUUUCUGUUCGUUUCUUGAUAUACUUUGUAAAAA
rnacentral:lncRNA from 1 species